CCUACGGGUGGCUGCAGUGAGGAAUAUUGGUCAAUGGGCGCGAGCCUGAACCAGCCAAGUAGCGUGAAGGAUGACUGCCCUACGGGUUGUAAACUUCUUUUAUAAAGGAAUAAAGUGAGGCACGGGUGCCUUUUUGUAUGGACUUUAUGAAUAAGGAUCGGCUAACUCCGUGCCAGCAGCUGCGGUAAUACGGAGGAUCCGAGCGUUAUCCGGCUUUAUUGGGUUUAAAGGGAGCGUAGAUGGGUUGUUAAGUCAGUUGUGCAAGUUUGCGGCUCAACCGUAAAAUUGCAAUUGAUACUGGCAGUCUUGCGUACAGUUGAGGUAGUCUGACUUCGUGGUGUAGCGGU
rnacentral:rRNA from 1 species